CCCAGACUCCUACGGGAGGCAGCAGUGGGGAAUAUUGCACAAUGGGGGGAACCCUGAUGCAGCGACGCCGCGUGGGUGAAGGAGCACCUCGGUGCGUAAAGCCCUAUCGGCAGGGAAGAAACAGACGGUACCUGACUAAGAAGCCCCGGCUAACUACGUGCCAGCAGCCGCGGUAAUACGUAGGGGGCAAGCGUUAUCCGGAUUCACUGGGUGUAAAGGGAGCGUAGACGGCGACGCAAGUCUGGAGUGAAAGCCCGGGGCCCAACCCCGGGACUGCUCUGGAAACUGCGUCGCUGGAGUGCGGGAGGGGCAGGCGGAAUUCCUGGUGUAGCGGUGAAAUGCGUAGAUAUCAGGAGGAACACCGGCGGCGAAGGCGGCCUGCUGGACCGUGACUGACGUUGAGGCUCGAGAGCGUGGGGAGCAAACAGGAUUAGAUACCCGCGUA
rnacentral:rRNA from 1 species